CAGUCGCCGCGGGAAUACGGAGGGAGCUAGCGUUGUUCGGAAUUACUGGGCGUAAAGCGCGCGUAGGCGGUUACUCAAGUCAGAGGUGAAAGCCCGGGGCUCAACCCCGGAACUGCCUUUGAAACUAGGUGACUAGAAUCUUGGAGAGGUCAGUGGAAUUCCGAGUGUAGAGGUGAAAUUCGUAGAUAUUCGGAAGAACACCAGUGGCGAAGGCGACUGACUGGACAAGUAUUGACGCUGAGGUGCGAAAGCGUGGGGAGCGAACAGGAUUAGAUACCCCGGUAGUCCCUGUCUCUUAUAC
rnacentral:rRNA from 1 species